AAGCGACCAUGUGAAUGCGAGCAAAUCCCAAAAAUAACGUCUCAGUUCGGAUUGUAGUCUGCAACUCGACUACAUGAAGCUGGAAUCGCUAGUAAUCGCGAAUCAGAAUGUCGCGGUGAAUACGUUCCCGGGUCUUGUACACACCGCCCGUCACACCAUGGGAGUCAGUAACGCCCGAAGCCGGUGACCCAACCAAACGGAGGGAGCCGUCGAAGGUGGGACCGAUAACUGGGGUGAAGUCGUAACAAGGUAGC
rnacentral:rRNA from 1 species